rnacentral:rRNA from 1 species
CUAUUGGUUUGUUGGUAAGGUAACGGCUUACCAAGACUUCGAUAGGUAGGGGCCCUGAGAGGGGGACCCCCCACACUGGUACUGAGACACGGACCAGACUCCUACGGGAGGCAGCAGUGAGGAAUAUUGGACAAUGGAGGAAACUCUGAUCCAGCCAUGCCGCGUGCAGGAUGAAUGCCCUAUGGGUUGUAAACUGCUUUUAUACAGGAAGAAACGUUCCCACGUGUGGGGAUUUGACGGUACUGUAAGAAUAAGGAUCGGCUAA